CCCCUUCUUUGGGAUAACGCCCGGAAACGGGUGCUAAUACUGGAUAUUCACUGGCCUUCGCAUGGGGGUUGGUGGAAAGGGUUUUUCUGGUGGGGGAUGGGCUCGCGGCCUAUCAGCUUGUUGGUGGGGUGAUGGCCUACCAAGGCUUUGACGGGUAGCCGGCCUGAGAGGGUGACCGGUCACAUUGGGACUGAGAUACGGCCCAGACUCCUACGGGAGGCANCANUGGGGAAUAUUGCACAAUGGGCGCAAGCCUGAUGCAGCGACGCCGCGUGAGGGAUGGAGGCCUUCGGGUUGUGAACCUCUUUCGCUCAUGGUCAAGCCGCAACAAUGGUUGUGGUGAGGUUAGUGGGUAAAGAAGCGCCGGCUAACUACGUGCCAGCAGCCGCGGUAAUACGUAGGGCGCGAGCGUUGUCCGGAAUUAUUGGGCGUAAAGGGCUUGUAGGCGGUUGGUCGCGUCUGCCCGUGAAAUCCUCUGGCUUAACUGGGGGCGUGCGGUGGGUACGGGCUGACUUGAGUGCG
rnacentral:rRNA from 1 species